GGAAGAGUCCCCACCCUCUCAUGUAGGUGAGAGGCGGCUGAAGAGUUGCUGUAUUCUGGGAAUGGGCAGGGUCACUUGUCCGAACAGAGUCCUAUCCUACGCGGCGGAAGCGUGUGCCCUUUGACUUGCAUCGUCUACCUACCUCUGCCAUCCUCUACCAGCCGCAACUGCGAGGGCUGGAGCCAACUUCAGGACUGAUUGAUCAUGACUUCUAUAAAGGAGCAGGCAGCAAUUAGCAGGCUCUUAAGUUUUUUACAGGAGUGGGACAACGCUGGCAAAGUCGCAAGGAGUCACAUCCUCGACAAGUUCAUUGAAACCAACCAAGGCAAGACUGCCCCUGAACUGGAGCAGGAGUUUUCCCAGGGAGCCAGUUUGUUCCUGACAUGGGGUCUUGCUAUGUUGCCCGAGCUGGUCUCAAACUCCUGGCCUCAUGCGAUCUUCCCACUUUAGCCUCCCAAAGUGCUGGGACUACAGCCAAUCAUUGGGACCACACACCCCAGCAUCGUGGACUGCGUGCUGAAGGUGCUGGGCACGAUGCACCUGGAAGUCCAGUAUGAAGCCAUCGAGUUGAUCAAGGACCUGGUCGGUUACGAUGUGCGCCAGGCGCUGCUCAAAGGCCUCGUGGCGCUGCUGAUACCGUCGGUCAAGGAGACCUCCAAACUGCAGGCCAAGAUCCUCAGUGGUAAGGACCUGCUCAAAUGGGGCUGCCUGGGCCACGGGAGGGCGGUCUCUUGCCUCACGGCUGCCCCCUCCUCAGACCCCUCGGUUCUCCAGCUCACCCCCAGCCUGCCGAUGUUUUUGCAGCAGGCCGCGGCCGCCAAGGCCAUCGGGUAAGCGGGCAGGGGUUAGUGGGUAGCUGCAGCAAGCCUGGCUUGGCGCUGCCGGCGGGCCCCGGGAGCGCUCCGUGCGCCG
rnacentral:sRNA from 1 species